rnacentral:misc_RNA from 1 species
CACGCGCGCACUCGCAUAUUAACUCCCACGACAGCUGAUCUCUGCUCGUGCCGUUGUAGCUCUUUUCUCCGCUGAGGGCGAGCUGGUUCGCGCAGCACGGCGUCAGCGCUCUCGUUACUGUCUCUGUGCGCGCACAAGUUCUUCUCACAGAGAGACGGUCGUACAAGGGAAGGCAAAGGGCAGACAUCCCCGGACGGCAAUGACACCUUACCGCCGGUGGAGCUGGCGCAGCGGUGACGUCGCCAUCUGGUCUAUGCUGCUCUUCUUCUUCACCCUAGCCCUCUUCAUUGUCUACCUGAACAUUUCCUUUGCCGAGUCGACGCCGCCGCCAGUCAACGAUCGCAUCAAACCGCAGUGAGAGACGGACAAAAGAAAACGGACGAGGUGGCAAGGAAUGUGCGGCGACAGAGAGGCACCGUGGGUCUUGCUUCUUCGCCAUGAAAGCCGCCACCCUCGGUGAAGGACCCCCCUCCGACAGCCGAUGCAUUGUGUGUGCCCUGGCACACACUAGAGCGCGCCACUCCCGGAAUGCUCGUUGCCCCGACUCACCGAGCACACGUCAAUGGAAUUCAACCUCGCACCCGCACGUCCAUGUCCGCUCCGGAGAACCGAUUUUACUUUCAUUGAGCUCGAGUCGUCCCGCUAAUCUAACCCGCGCACUCGGCCUCCGAGGCACUCGAUGCCCUCGCCCUCCUCUUCCACUUCGCCAACCACUGUGCGCAGUCGGUGUGGCAUACCGUGGCAAGUGACAGCAUGUCUGUCCUUAUCUGUGCAUUUCUGCUCUCCCCUCCCCACCUCUACCACCCGGCCUUCGCUUACACGAGAGUGCACGGUGACACCCCCAUGCGGACCCGCCUUUCCACUCACUUCUCCCCCUCAUCCGCUCUUCGUCCCCCCCCCCAUCCCCCACCUCUCUGCUCCCCGCCUUAUGGCCUCCGUACCGUCCCUCCCCUCCUGUCCAUGCAG